CGCCACGGAUGGGCCGGCGCCGGUAGGCCACCGUGGGUUCCGCGUUGAGUAGCGCAGCUACAACCAGGUGAGGACGCCAGAGCUUCCACAUCGUCGUCAUCGUCGCCGGGACGCCUCAAAGGACACAAUUGAUGACAUGAGUGGUCGUGCAUUUGGGCUGCCUUGAACACAUAAGAGUCCGAUAUGGAUGCACCGUAAAGUUUCAUCCAGUGAGCAGCUCCCCACAAUUGGCGAGUCAACAAAAUCCUUUGUGUUCCCAUCCUUCCAUAAGCUCCAUGCCUGCAUCCAUUCUCUUCCCUUUCAAGAUGCAUAUAUUUACUGUACUUGCAGAAAUUCAAACAUGACAUGUUGUUUCAGUAGUUCCUGUACACAAUUCUAAUGUGGAACAUUGCAUUGAUUGGGUGUCAGUCACCUGUUUUUAGCCUUGUCCAACGAAACAGGCCUGGAAGGUGGGGUCUGUUGUAGCGGUUUUGUUGCCGACACUGACCAUGACUGCCCCAGCUACUUCUGAUGGGGCGUCCACAGUGACAAUCUCAUCCGUACUGGUAGCAAGGGAGUUUCCACUUAAAGGAGCACCCUGAAUGUACGUGUCAAGAAUGAAGACAACAAUAGAUUGUUGUGCAUACGUCAAAUUGUACCAUCAAAAUUAGAAGUGGUGUGUGUUUUGCUAGACUACAUUUGAGGAAGAACAUUUGGAGUUUUAGCCAACCCAUGAUGAUAACCUGCAUCAGUUAUGUUCAAGUCUGCCAAGAACAACAUCGACGAUAUUACUCCAAACUUGAACAUAUUGUUUUGCUACACAGAUAUCUCCUCCACCAACAAAAGCUAGAGUUAAAUACUCAUACGUUUACUGUCUAUAUAUCAAGGAGUAUAUCUCAAGAAGCUAUAUUCCGGAUAUGCGUAGAUCUACUCAGAACUCUUCCCACGGAUCGAUGACAUGGCGCCCAUCCAUCCAUCCAUCUAUCUCACCAUCUCACAUCCAUC